UACGAAGGGUGCAAGCGUUACUCGGAAUUAUUGGGCGUAAAGGGUGCGUAGGCGGUUUGGUAAGUCUUAUGUGAAAUCUACAGGCUCAACUUGUAGUCUGCAUGAGAAACUGCCGGGCUUGAGUAUGGGAGAGGUGAGUGGAAUUCCUGGUGUAGCGGUGAAAUGCGUAGAUAUCAGGAGGAACACCUGUGGCGAAAGCGGCUCACUGGACCAUAACUGACGCUGAUGCACGAAAGCUAGGGGAGCAAACAGG
rnacentral:rRNA from 1 species